GAUGAAGAACGCAGCGAAAUGCGAUAAGUAAUGCGAAUUGCAGAAUUUCCGUGAGUCAUCGAAUCUUUGAACGCACAUUGCGCCCGCUGGUAUUCCGGCGGGCAUGCCUGUUCGAGCGUCAUUUCAACCCUCAAACCCCCGGGUUUGGUGUUGGGGAUCGGCUCUGCCUCACGGCGGUGCCGCCCCCGAAAUACAUUGGCGGUCUCGCUGCAGCCUCCAUUGCGUAGUAGCUAACACCUCGCAACUGGAACGCGGCGCGGCCAUGCCGUAAAACCCCAACUUCUGAAUGUUGACCUCGGAUCAGGUAGGAAUACCCGCUGAACUUAAGCAUAUCAAUAAGCGGAGGA
rnacentral:misc_RNA from 1 species